AUACGUAGGGUGCAAGCGUUAAUCGGAAUUACUGGGCGUAAAGCGUGCGCAGGCGGUUUUGUAAGACAGUCGUGAAAUCCCCCGGCUCACCCUGGGAAUUGCGAUUGUGACUGCAAAGCUGGAGUGGGGCAGAGGGGGAUGGAAUUCCGCGUGUAGCAGGGAAAUGCGUACAUAUGCGGAGGAACACCGAUGGCCAAGGCAGUCCCCUGGGCCUGCAGUGAUGCUCAAGCACGAUAGCGUGGGGAGGAAACAUGAUUAGAUACCCUGGUAGUCCACUCACUAAAGGAUGUCAACGGGUUAUUGGGUCUCUUGUGACUCAGUACCGAAGCUACAGCGUGAAGUGGACCCGCUGGGGAGUACGGCCGCAAGGUUGCAGCUCAAAUGAAAUGACGGGG
rnacentral:rRNA from 1 species